UGACUAGGGGAUAAGCUACAGCAGG
rnacentral:piRNA from 1 species